AUAUUAUUUUCCCUGUGUCUUCUUGAUUUUGUGUUGAUUAAUCAGUUCGUGUUGAUAAAUUUGUCAAUUUUUCUUCAUGGGUCCAGAAAAAUCUUCACCUUGGAGCCUGCGAUGGGACGGCGUAGGGAUGGUGCUCCGCCAUAGCCAACUCAAUGGGCUACCGUGUAGGGGCUUAAGAGAGAGAAUAGAUUUCUGCGCCCUCGGUAUUUCUUAUUACCCCAAAAGCAGUGUUCUGCGUUGCCUCCAUCUUUUUUCGUCUCUUCUUUGUGUGUGGUGUGGACUUCUCUUCUGCUUUCGUCAAGGCUCCCAGGCUAUUCCAUUGGGUUCUGCGUGCGUUAAGCUGUGAACCACAUCGAUGAUGAUAGCAGACUCGAUGCUGAGAGUUCAAGAUCCCAAUAUCGAUCGAUUCGUCUUGCUCCCGUGUUUGAUUGAUCGUCUUGCUCCUGUGUUCGAUUGGUUCGUUUUGCUCUUGCCUGACAGACUCUGAAAAUUGGGAACUGGAAUGUUUUUGCAUGCAAUGGAUUCAAUUUUCUAAGACUACAGGCAUGACAAGUGAAGCUAAACUACGUACACCUGUGACAAUUUCAAGCUCAAUGCCAAUCUCAACCAUUUGCAUCACUGACUUCUGUGAAAAGUGCGAUGGCAUCAUCCUCAAAAGAAGUUAAACUACAUACACCUGUUCAUAUGUAUGCUUCAACAAACAUCGACGGCACCUGCUGGAGUUGAUUAUGAUGAGUUUAAGGAGGGAUUGUCCCUAAAUUCAGGGGAACAAGUAUCAGAAUCUAAUCAUAAAGAUAUAUUGGGCCUCAUGUCUCUGCUGAUAGGUCAUCUGAUGAUGGAUAUAACUGGCGUAAGUAUGGGCAGAAACUUGUCAAAGGAUGUGAAUUUCCACGGAGCUAUUACAAAUGUACACAUCCUAACUGUGAGGUGAAGAAGAUUUUCAAAUGCUCUUUCGAUGGGCAAAUCAAGGAGAUUGUGGAGGGUACACAUUAUCAUCCUAAACCUCAACCUGCCCGUCGAUCUUCUGCAGGUGCUAUUAUGUCCUACCAAUAGAAAACUGAUAAAGUUUCGUCUUUAACAGCUGAAGAAGACAAAUCUGGCGUAAUUGCUCGGAUGUAUUCUCACAUUGAGCCAGAUGGGACCCCUGAGCUAUCUCCUCUUGGAACAAAUGAUGAUAUUGUUGAAGGUGCAGUUCCCCAAUUGAAUAGCACAAACGAUGAGGUUGAUGAUGAUGACCCAUUUUCAAAGCGAAGAUGAUGAUGUUUAAGUGAGGCUGUAGAGUGUUUUAUCUGUAUGUUAAUAGCUGUGUUCAACUGUCAUGGUACUAACUUCGAUUGAACUGCCCAAAUUUUUUCUCAAGAAGUUUGACAGUAUCGGUUCUGAUAUCACAUCAGUACUUAAACCAAUUCGUGAACCACGUGAAGUUGUUCAAACUACGAGUGAGGUUGAUAUUCUUGAUGACCACUAUCGAUGGCAUAAAUAUCGGCAUAAAUUGGUGAAAGGCAAUCCUUAUCCAAGGUAUGUCUGAGUUUCUUGACUUUGUGCGGAACUAAAAGGGGGAACAGAGAAUGGAGCUUGCGUCCAUGCAUACGGAUUACAAGGUCAAACCAGUACACAAGGCAGCCUUACCCCACUUUUAUGGAGAGGCUAAUUCCUGAGACACGAACUCACGCCACAACCCUAGGGUUGGAUAACACUUAUGAUCGUGCUAGGUCAAGACCUCUUUGUUAGCAUCAAAAUGCAGAUUUAUUUUCCUGACAAAGUAAUGCUUUAAGUCAUUUGACCCAUCUAAAACCUCCACUGUUGCCAGCUUCUGUUAUUCAUUUGGACCAGUCAAUUAGAAAUAUCAUAGUUAAAGCAAGUCCACUAAUGAGUCAUUUAGGCUGCCAAAGCCAUGACUUGGCAGUUGGCAAAAUCUAAGUCCACGUGUUUCGAUCUUUUGCUACAAAGCCAUCUUUGGUGCGGUGCCAAAUUUGGCACCGACUUUGAUUUUGCCAAAUCUCCCAUAUCUAGAUGUGAGAUUGUGCCAGAAUGACACCAAAUUGGUACAGCAGGCUUAGCAGCAAUUUUUUUGUGUGGCCUUUUUGGACACUGUAACAAGCCAAAAAUGGCUUUGGCAAAGUCACUUUUAUCUAUAUGUUGUUUGAACAACAGAUUAAUGGUAGGUAGUAAUCUUUAAUCACACUAUUUGAACUACUCAACUGAGCCAUGGUCAGCAGCUUUUCUAAUAAUCCUUGGCCCAUGCUGCCAAUUUCCCUCAAAAAUCUAG